UUGGGGGGAUGGGUGGGCCCGCCCCCACUGACUCAGCGCACAGCUAUGCGGGCCUUGCAUCACCCGCGCCAAAAUAAUAGCGACCGCCAGUCGCUGCCCUCGCCUGCGGCGCUCUGCGCUGGCGAGGGGCCUGCCUGGCCCCGGAAGAUUUUAGUGGAAAGGCUGGGGGAGUGUGCAAUGGGAGUCGGAAACUGGACUCCUCGUCCCGGUAUGGAGGGCCUGGAAGAGUUGCUUCCGGCCCCAGGGCAGAAGUCCUGGAAUCCGAAAAGCUUUGUGCAGGUCCCCAGCGGUCUUCUCCCAGCCUAGGCUUAAACACUAAUCAGGAAGAGGAUAAGAGAGCGAUAGAAAAAGACUUCCAUCCGCAGGCCUGCUCCAGGUCCAGAAGAAGGGUGGUUGGUUAUAGGGGCCGCUCCUCCGCAUUCCUGCCCUCUCGCGGCCCGUGCCAUUGGUCAGAUCCACCCAGGGCGCAAUCUGAAAAAUAUGUGCCAAGAGCUAUAAAACUCUUCAUUGAGCCCCUUUGACCUAGUAAACCCAUUUAAGGAAGUCCAUGUCUAAGGAAAUAAUCCAAAGGGGAAGGGGGAGGGAGAACUUGCAUAAAGAGGUUUAUAGCAGGGCUAUUCAGAAUGUUCAUAAUGACCAAAACCUGCGAAGGGGCCCGGUUGUCCAACAGUUGGGGAAUAAUCCAAGCAAGCUCUGUUACAGUAACAGAAUCCUGGCAGCCACCCUCACUUGGACUUAGGCAGGAAGAGGCCCUGAACCAUCUGAUACAGCCUUUUCCUCUCGGAUAACACUGACUUCUGGGCAGAAGUCCCCAGCUUGUGUCCUGGGCAUUGAAGAGGAGAGGAAGGAGAUGUCAAGCAUGACCUCCAGCGUUCGCUAGGACUCAUCAGUAAAGUAACAAAAAUCAACGAUUGCAUCUAAAUGCAAGGUUGGGGGAGAGCAAAAGAAAGAAAAAGAAGGAAAUACAUGGUGGCAACCCAGAGGCUGAAUGCCCAUGAGCAGAGUCUUCAAAUCUUUCCAUUUCUUGUUGACAUUCUCACUGACAGUGUUUGAACAGGGCCGGGCUGUUGACGAGCAAUCAUUGUUUGCUGUCGCCCAGCAGAACCUGUGAGAUAAAGCCGUCCAAAGCUUGACAGACAUCACUUCGUCAGCACGAUGCCCGGCAAGGUGUGAGCCGCCAGCCUCGGGAAGGGGCAGCCUCUGGUUCCAUCUGCUCCCCCACGGACCUUCAGAAGUGCUGUGAGGCUUUGCAGCCAGAGCAGAUAGCCGAGUGUCAGGAAGGGCGCAGAGGAGCAGAGAUGUUCUGGAAGCCAGAGACUCUGAGGCCUGGGCCUCAGACACAAUGCACGCUCUCCUUCCCAGACACCACAAAGGUGACUGAGACAAUGUGAAGUGACCCACACUGCUCCCCAUGCCUCGGAGGGUGGGCGCAGGCUCCCGAGGUUUCUCUCGGGGUUUGCUCUGGAGGCUUUCUCCUGCGCAGCUCCCAGGGCUCCUCGUGAGUUCUUUAUCGUCACCGCGGCUGCAAUGACCACCUGGCACCAAGGACUGUGACUGAGGAACUCGGAGAUAAGCGAGGCAAGGUCACGGACCUCAUUACUUGGGGAGGAAAGGAGACAUAGACACAGGCCCAGCAAGGAGUAAGUGCUCCGCUUACAAACUGCUAGAAUGAGGAGUCGACUGACUGAAUGAGCGUAAGGCCAUACACGCAAGUGAGCCCCGCGUCAGAAGAAAGCACAGGAUUUGGAGUGUGAAGGCAGAGUGGACACCCCAGCUCCCCCAGUCGCAUCGGGGCCUUAGGCCGGGUACUUCUUCUUCCAAAUUCAUUGUCUACCCUGCUCUGUGCCCCAGGGGCUGACCUCUGUGACCCACCUCCCUGGGCUCCCUUGCCAUGUGUUUUCUGGCUGGGCUCAGACAAAGGGGGUCCCUGGAAAAGAGAUUGGGACCUCCACCCUGGCCCAUCCUCUGACGGCAGCUCAGUACCCAACACCUCCAGCCCCCCCACUCGCUGCAUCCCAUUCUCACUGGGCUCCAGGGACAUUGGGUCCUCCCCUCACCCUUGUGGCCCUUGCUUCUCACUGCUACUAACACCUGGGGCCUCAAUAUGCCUUGUCUUCCUUUAAUCCUGUCUACACCUACAGAAAGAGCUCCUUCGUAGAAACCACCUGAAUCAAUUCUGUUUCCUAUUGAGACCCAAUUUAUUAGAGCAAGUCAUGGAACUUCUCAGAGUGUCAAGUUCUUCCACUAUGAAAUGGAAAUAGUAAUACUUAGUAUCUAGCACCAUGCUUGAACAUGGGCCCUCAGUAAACACUGGUUGGUUGAAUAAAUGAAUGCAUGGACCAUGAUGGCUGGCUGGGUGGGUGAAUGAGAAGAAUACUUACAGGAUUAGUGACAAGAUGUUAAUGCAUUAGGUAUGAAAGUACUUGUUAUCAUAAUUCUUAUUAAAUGGUCAGUGAAUGUAAUAGCAUAAACUAUCUUGAUAUAAAAAAUGGGCAUGGGUUGAGAAUCAGGAAAACUGAGUCCCAGUUUUUCUAUUUGUUAAUUGUGUGAUCUUAGGCAAAUUAUCUUCCCAUUCUGUGCCUCUAUUUCCACUCCUCUAAAGCAAAAAAAAAUAAGAGUUUAUGACCCAGGAGCCAUCUAGCUUGGACAGCCUAUCAAGUGCUAAACAUUCCAGGGAAACAGCUUGAAUUGGAGAAGCUGGGGACAUGCUCAGGGCAGAGACAGGGACUUGAAGAGCAUAGUAAGGACCAACCAGAACAGCAGCACACUCCAAUGAAUAGAGACUUGAGGGGAUUAACGGGGCAAGUUUGGUCAAUGCAGAUGACCCAGAAUAAACAUCUGGCCAGAACAGAAGUUGUCUGUGGGAACUUAAGGGACCUUGAGCAUCGGCUGAGGAGCUAACGCUGCAAAAGGGAAGGAAUCUGACUUCCACGAGGCCCCGGAAGCCAACCGAGGACUCGGAUUUGAGUUUCCUCUGCUCGAUCCUCUGAAAUGCCACCAGGGUCCCCGUCUUCCUCUCCUGAUGGCCGCUUCCUUCUCUCUUCUGUGAGUCCUUUCUCUGAAGGUCACUUGUCAAAUUAAGGAUGAGGGAAAAUUUAUUGGGUGAGGAAACCAUUUGGUAAGGGAUCUUUUUGGCACCGUUCAAACCUUGGCAAAGGCCCCGUUCCUGUCAUGAGCCUCCUUGCAUUUUGAAAUCUGUUUGUUCGAAGGAAAGUCAAAGAUCAGAUAAUCAAAAGAAAGUGAUUUUUAAAAACUGUUGCAAAAAUAUAAAUUCAGAAAUAAAAAAUUUUAAUCGGGCUUGAGCAAGAAUAUCACCCUGAAGGAUCCUGGACAUGAAGUCAAAACACUUGAAAAAAAAUAAUAGAAAUGAACAUGAAGGGUGAUAAUGCAGAGCCAUCGUGGAGUUAAUAACUCCACAGUGUGAUUUGGUAAGUGGCUAGCUGUGUGAGUUUCGGCACGUCCCAUCAUCUCUGGCCUCAGUUUCCCCAUAUGUUACAUAGAGGAGACAGACUCGACGGUGGGCUCUCAAAGUCUCUCCUGCCCACAUAGGGCCUUCAGCUCCCAUGCCACUGCUCUCUCUUUCAACUCUGUUGAAAGGGGGCACAAGACAACUUAACACUACUUUGGUUUCAGCUUGCCUGACCUUGGUCCCGGGUGUGGCCUCUCUGAGCGCAGGGGCCGGAGACCUGAGGCAGCUGCUCGGCUCUGGUGCGCUGUGCGGCUUUCGCCAGAUAUGAAAAGGAAUGUCAGCACCAGCCUGCAGUCAAGCUGGGCCUCUGCGAGGGGGUCAUCUAGACAUGGCCAGCCUCACUGCCUCGCCAGAGACAAAUCUCCUUGCUUCUAGUGGAGCUCCCUGGGGUGGCCCCCUGACCACUUGUCCACACCCCACAGGCCUCACACUGCGGUCAUUCCAAAAUGGCCCUGUGUGGUUUGUGUUAUUCUCCAGCUCAAAAAUGUGCACGACACCUCCUUGCUGAGCUAUGGGAGCAUGUCCCCAAGCUGCUCCCAUUCUGUGAGACGCAGAAGCCCAGGCUGUGUCACUUGAGUUUGGAGAAUGCUUCACUCCCACCUUGCAGAGUCCCAGCACCCCCACGAUUCCAGAGAAAAGAGACCUGUGCAGGCUCAUCGAGCCGAGCAUAUUUCUGAAAUAUAUUUGGCCAAAGGACUUUCCUUGAGUAACUGCAAGCAAUGGCCCUCAGAACAGCAACUCCAAACAGUCGGCUUUGGGAAACACUGUCCUGUGGGUGAAAAGCCAAACUUUCUGGUGUUUAGAUAAGGCUCGCCUCCGUCUGGCCCCUGCAAACCCACAGCCCCUCCCUGUUUCUCCUCUGUACACCUGCAAGACCAGGGCCGUGGAGUUAUUUGUUGACAGUUGUUCAUUUCUGUGUGUGCCAAUGUUGCAAAAAUGUAAACUGGGGGGGCGCCUGGGUGGCACAGCGGUUAAGCGUCUGCCUUUGGCUCAGGGCAUGAUCCCGGCGUUAUGGGAUCGAGCCCCACAUCAGGCUCCUCUGCUAUGAGCCUGCUUCUUCCUCUCCCACUCCCCCUGCUUGUGUUCCCUCUCUCGCUGGCUGUCUCUAUCUCUGUCAAAUAAACAAAUAAAAUCUUUAUUAAAAAAAAGUGCUUAAAAAGUUAAGUUCUACUACUUAAUCUCUCACUUUUUUGUUAAAAAACUAUGCAUUUCACCCCCAUCCCCAGGCCUUUGUUCAGGUUGUCUGCAAAGCUUUCCCUUUAUUCACCUAGGAAAAGCCUAUUCACCUCACGAAGCUUUACUCAAAUACCACCACCCCAAAUUCCUUACUAAGAAUUUAUUAUUUAUUAA